rnacentral:rRNA from 1 species
UUAUUACUUGUUAAUUUUUUUGUGAUUAGGAUAUCGAAAGAAAAAUAAUUUUAAUGCUUUAAGAUAAGUAAUGUUUAAUAAAAUUUAUUUUAGACUAUAGAGAAAAGUACUGUAAAGGAAAGUAUUAAAAAUAUUGUAUAGUAAAUUUUAAUAAUUGUAUUUUGUGUAUCAAAGAAAAUUUAUAUUAUUUAAUUAUUAUAAAUAUCUCGAAAUAGAUAUAGUUAAUUUUAUAAAAAUUUUUUGUAUAAAAUAGAUUUUAAAUAUAAAAUUAAAGAUGAAAAGUUAGUCGAGAUCUAUAAUAUCUAGUUUUUUAGGAGAUUAAUUUAAUUAAGAUUUUAUAUAGAUAAAUAGUAUAGAAUUUAAUAGUAGGAGGGAUAAGCUUCUUAUAGUAAAUAAAAAAGAGUUAAGAAAUUAGAAUUAGAUUUUAAUUAGGCUUUAAAGUAGCUAUAUUGAUAAAGUGUUUUAACUAAAUAUAUAAAAUAAUAGAAUUUAUUUUAACUUUUAUUAGUACUAAAAAAUUAAUUUUAAUAUUGAAAAAGUAAAUAUAAUGAUUUUAUUAGUAGAAAUUUAAUAUUAAAUAGUAUUUUGAAAUAUUAUUGUUUAUUUAAUCGUUAUUUUAGUAAAAUAAAGGAACUCGGCAAAUAUUUUCUCUGCUUGUUUAUCAAAAACAUCUCUGUUUGAAGGUAUAAAGAGUAUAACCUGCUCACUGAUAAAAGUUUAAGAGCCGCAGUAUUUUGACUGUGCAAAAGGUAGCAUAAUCGUUUGUUUUUUAAUUGGAAUCUUGUAUGAAUGGUUGGACAAGAGAAAAACUGUCUUUAUAAGAAAAAAUUGAAUUUAACUUUUAGAUGAAAAGGUCUAAAUAAAUUAAAGGGACGAUAAGACCCUAUAAAGCUUAAUAUAAAAAGUUAGUUAAUUAAAUUUUAUUAAAAUAAAAAUGAAUUAAUUUAAUAUAUUUUGUUGGGGCGACAGAGGUAAAAUUAUUAUUAACUACUUAAAUAAGAUUCAAAUAUAAGUGUAAUUUUAAAAGAUCCUAGUUAAAGAUUUAAAGUUUAAGUUACUUUAGGGAUAACAGCGUUAUUUUUUUUGAGAGUACUUAUCGAGAAAAAAGUUUGCGACCUCGAUGUUGAAUUAAAAUAUCUUUAUAAUUGCAGAAGUUAUAAAAGAAGGUCUGUUCGACCUUUAAAUUUUUACAUGAUUUGAGUUCAGACCGGCGUGAGCCAGGUUGGUUUCUAUCUUUUAAUAAGUGUGUAAAUUAUUUUAGUACGAAAGGAUUAAAUAGUUAAAAUUAUUUUUUGAGUGGU